GGACAGCGCGUGAAAAGAGACUGUAAGCCAAUCAUAUAGCUGCCGCUAGCGCGUGCUCUUAUUGCCUGUCUAUAUAUACUCUGUGAAAACUUGAAUAAAGGGAGAACGAUCAUACUCAUAUUGAGACUCCAUCGUUACUCCGGGUCCGUCUCCCACUCCGACAUCCUCCGACAUCUGGUAGCAGAGGAUGGUUCAGCGCGACUGAGUUCUCCGAGACUGCGCUCACAGACAUGGUUGUCAAGAUUUUAAAGGACUGUACUGUAUGAAUCUAAGUGACCACUCCACAUCCAUCCAUGCCCAGCUGCAGGAACUGCACCGACCGAACCAGCAACUUGUGGAGACCACGGGGUGAAAUCUCUUUGCUGGAUGGACUUGGGGGUGGGGUUGGUUGAAGCAAAUUAUACUCAUUGCCUGUGUGGAAGGAAUUUGUCUGUUAUGUUUAGUACGCUGUUUGCCGUGUUUAAUAAGCAUUAUACGAUCAGCUGUAAAUGCCGCUUUGCAUCGUAUCCUUGUACGAGUUGUAGAAUAUGUUGCUCUAAAAACUAUGUGUGUAUCCAUGAGAACCUGACCUUCACAGAAGAAGAUAACAAGAAGGGAUUACAACAAUGUAGUCACGUAUCAGACAGCUGCUGUUAGCAAAGCUGGAUCAUGAGUUUGGUGAGACUCGCUGCAUACACUGGCCACGUGUGCAGCGACUCUGGCCUGUACUUUUCUACUCGAUCCAGCGCAGGAGAGUCUGGUGGGACUCGCUGUGUGCACUGGCCAUGCAUGCAGCGACUCUAGCCUGUACUUCUCCACUCAAUCCAGUGCAGGAUAUAAGGAGGCUGUCUCGGGUCAGAGAGGGGGAGAGAGACAUGAGCACACUUUGAAGGUACAGGGGAUGCCCUGAAGCACUGUGUCUGCCCCCCCCCCCCGCCCCCCCCGUAAGUUUUAUGUUCAUUAACCCCAACAGCUCCGAAGGCAUCACAGCAUGUUGAAAGAUAAGAUAUAGUCUACUACUGCUGCAAGACACAUUGAACACCUUCCUACAAGAAUUUCAACUUUAUGCCCUGAUAGGACAGUGGGAUGAUGCAAAGAGCCUGACUGCAUUAGAGUGGGUAUUUUUGUCACAUACCUUUUCAAAACCAGUAACUAUGAUGAUCGAAAUGUUGCCACGAUUGUUUUUCCAGGGUCGCUCGUGCUGUCAGCAACCGCAAUGUAUUUGAAAUAUUACAAAAGGAUUUCUCGUGGGUAAAUCCAAAGAAAUUGGCUUUCUGGGCUAAAUUUAGGAAUCUGGGUAUUUAUUGCCUUAGCAGGGUUCUUUUUGAUUCUGUUUUUAAUUGUGUUUAGUAUAUAACCUGCUAAGAGCGUCACAACAAGGAUAACAUGUCCAAAUUAAAAGCGGUCAAAAAUGGUUUCGAUGAUUGGUCAAACUCAUGGGGUAUAACGGGAUGGUUAUCAGACUUACUAAAGCAAGGGCUCAUGCUACUGUUGGUUAUAUUAUUAUUGAUUAUGGUAGCCUCAUGUGUUCUCCGCAAAGUGACUGACAUGAUAGAAAAUGCCAUGCAUAAGGUCUGGCUGGCUCAAGAAGAAAAAGGGGGGAUUGUAGGAAUGUGUCUGAGAGAAAAUGGUCACGUGAGCCAGCCUCCCUACUGUGAGAGAUUGGAUUAAGGGCAAAACAGGUGGUAGAAAAUGGAAUUAGGACAUGGGAAAAACGGGAACUGAGAAGGUAGAAAACAUGUUGUGCUAAUGACUAAGCAAUUUACUAUGUGAAUUCUUGUAACCAAUCUGAUCUGUGAAUGAACUGCAUGGACAGCGCGUGAAAAGAGACUGUAAGCCAAUCAUAUAGCUGCCGCUAGCGCGUGCUCUUAUUGCCUGUCUAUAUAUACUCUGUGAAAACUUGAAUAAAGGGAGAACGAUCAUA